UCGUGAGACAGUUCGGUCCCUAUCCGUCGCGGGCGUAGGAAAUUUGAGAGGAUCUGCUCCUAGUACGAGAGGACCAGAGUGGACUUACCGCUGGUGUACCAGUUGUUCUGCCAAGAGCAUCGCUGGGUAGCUAUGUGUGGACGGGAUAAACGCUGAAAGCAUCUAAGCGUGAAGCCCCCCUCGAGAUGAGAUUUCCCAUCAUUUUAAAUGAGUAAGACCCCUGAGAGACGAUCAGGUAGAUAGGCUAGAAGUGGAAGUGUGGCGACACAUGUAGCGGACUAAUACUAAUAGCUCGAGGACUUAUCCAAA
rnacentral:rRNA from 1 species